UACGUAGGGGGCAAGCGUUUGUCCGGAAUCAUUGGGCGUAAAGAGCGCGUAGGCGGUCCGGUAAGUCCGCUCUGAAAGCCCGGGGCUCAACCCCGGGAGGCGGGCGGAUACUGUCGGGCUAGAGUCCGGAAGAGGCGAGUGGAAUUCCUGGUGUAGCGGUGAAAUGCGCAGAUAUCAGGAGGAACACCGAUGGCGAAGGCAGCUCGCUGGGACGGUACUGACGCUGAGGCGCGAAAGCGUGGGGAGCAAACAGG
rnacentral:rRNA from 1 species